UCUCGGGUGACGAGUGGCGGACGGGUGAGUAAUGUCUGGGAAACUGCCUGAUGGAGGGGGAUAACUACUGGAAACGGUAGCUAAUACCGCAUAACGUCGCAAGACCAAAGAGGGGGACCUUCGGGCCUCUUGCCAUCAGAUGUGCCCAGAUGGGAUUAGCUAGUAGGUGGGGUAACGGCUCACCUAGGCGACGAUCCCUAGCUGGUCUGAGAGGAUGACCAGCCACACUGGAACUGAGACACGGUCCAGACUCCUACGGGAGGCAGCAGUGGGGAAUAUUGCACAAUGGGCGCAAGCCUGAUGCAGCCAUGCCGCGUGUACGAAGAAGGCCUUCGGGUUGUAAAGUACUUUCAGCGGGGAGGAAGGCGAUAAGGUUAAUAACCUUGUCGAUUGACGUUACCCGCAGAAGAAGCACCGGCUAACUCCGUGCCAGCAGCCGCGGUAAUACGGAGGGUGCAAGCGUUAAUCGGAAUUACUGGGCGUAAAGCGCACGCAGGCGGUCUGUCAAGUCGGAUGUGAAAUCCCCGGGCUCAACCUGGGAACUGCAUUCGAAACUGGCAGGCUGGAGUCUUGUAGAGGGGGGUAGAAUUCCAGGUGUAGCGGUGAAAUGCGUAGAGAUCUGGAGGAAUACCGGUGGCGAAGGCGGCCCCCUGGACAAAGACUGACGCUC
rnacentral:rRNA from 1 species